GACGAACGCUGGCGGCGUGCUUAACACAUGCAAGUCGAACGGUGAAGCGCCUUCCUUUUUGGUGGGUGUGGAUGAGUGGCGAACGGGUGAGUAACACGUGAGUAACCUGCCCCCUUCUUCUGGAUAACCGCAUGAAAGUGUGGCUAAUACGGGAUAUUCUGGGUCUGUCGCAUGAUGGGUCUGGGAAAGAUUUUGUUUCGGUGGGGGAUGGGCUCGCGGCCUAUCAGCUUGUUGGUGGGGUGAUGGCCUACCAAGGCGGUGACGGGUAGCCGGCCUGAGAGGGUGGACGGUCACACUGGGACUGAGACACGGCCCAGACUCCUACGGGAGGCAGCAGUGGGGAAUAUUGCACAAUGGGCGCAAGCCUGAUGCAGCGACGCCGCGGGAGGGAUGGAGGCCUUCGGGUUGUGAACCUCUUUCGCCAGUGAAGCAGGCCUGCCUCGUUUGUGGAUGGGUUGACGGUAGCUGGAUAAGAAGCGCCGGCUAACUACGUG
rnacentral:rRNA from 1 species